AUUGAACGCUGGCGGCAGGCCUAACACAUGCAAGUCGAACGAGUGGCGGACGGGUGAGUAAUGUCUGUGAAACUGCCUGAUGGAGGGGGAUAACUACUGGAAACGGUAGCUAAUACCGCAUACCAUCAGAUGUGCCCAGAUGGGAUUAGCUAGUUGGUGGGGUAACGGCUCACCAAGGCGCCGAUCCCUAGCUGGUCUGAGAGGAUGACCAGCCAAAAGGGAACUGAGACAAGGUCCAGACCCCUACGGGAGGCAGCAGUGGGGAAUAUUGCGCAAGGGGCGAAAGCCUGAAGCCGCCAUGCCGCGGGGAUGAAGAAGGCCUUCGGGUUGUAAAGUACUUUAAGCGGGGAGGCGUUACCCGCAGAAGAAGCACCGGCUAACUCCGUGCCAGCAGCCGCGGUAAUUC
rnacentral:rRNA from 1 species